AGAUUGAACGCUGGCGGCAUGCCUUACACAUGCAAGUCGAACGGUAACAGGGAGCUUGCUCCGCUGACGAGUGGCGAACGGGUGAGUAACACAUCGGAACGUGCCAUUGAGUGGGGGACAACGUAGCGAAAGUUACGCUAAUACCGCAUAUUCUCUGAGGAGGAAAGCAGGGGACCGCAAGGCCUUGCGCUCAUUGAGCGGCCGAUGUCAGAUUAGCUA
rnacentral:rRNA from 1 species